GGAGAGUAGAGGAAAGACAGGAGAUGGUUGUUGGCAAGGGCAGGGCGACCGUCCGGCCGAGGCCCGACGUGCUGGGCUGGGGGGUGGGCGGUGCCCACUUGAAGUUCAAGGUCAUAAACUUAACUGGAGCCAAUCCAAAUCCACUGCCCAAGCAAAAGCGUAUCUAAGAAAAAGAAAAAUAACUCGAAGCCUCCAAGACACAUAAAAUCCAGAAUGGACUGACAACGGUGAAGAAGGGUAGAGCUUUUCAGAAAGAUGACCCUCGAUUCAGGGCUUAGCCAUUCUUGUACAUGGAGCCAAGUUCAUUUUACCCGCAACUGACUUACAAGUGUCUCAUAACUCUGGACUCGUAACGGACACCACAAAAGCCCGUUCAAUGUCCAGUUGCUGGGAUGAGCCUAGUGGACAAAACGUCAAGCCAAUGGCAUGAGGACUGUGGUUUCAAUCAAGACCUGUCCCCCCAGAGCAGGGCUGCCCCAGCCCAUCCAUCUGGCAUCUCCGAGUCUCGGCAUCUUCUCUGAAAAUGAGAAUCAGAAGGUGUGUGAGCAAAGUUUGUUGUGUUAAUCGAAAAUAUGUUAAUUUUCUGCAUUUCAAUAACUUCAAGCUUAGCCUGAGAACCUUCCAAGCUGUAGAAAACCUCCUUGACUAAGAGUCCACCUGCACAAGGACCUCCGCCUUCUGAACACAAACGAGCUGGAAUAGACCAUAAAGAAGGAGGGGGACCCUGGGGCCAGGAAGCUGGUCCUUCACAAGCAGGUCAGUGGUGGGGAUGCAGCUGGGGGCACAUGACACGAUGACAUUUCAUCUGGGUCUGAAAUACUCAGGCCCAGGCCCCUGAGAGUCCUGCAAACAGCGAAUCAGAAGGACCGCAGAGACUGAACAGGUGGUCCCUGAGCAGGUGGCUCUUGGCUGCUUGGAUGAGGGAGGGGAGAGGAGAGAGAAGAUGCUGGGGGCCACCCCAGGGGCCCUGCGCUGGAGACAGGUCCCGGGGCCCAGACUGUCUCACCCGAGAUGCAUCUUCCAUAACCUCCUUGGCAAGUCAGUCCUGAGCAUGAGCCUAGAGAAACCCCUUCACCAGGCCUGCCGUGGAGAAGGCCCUUCAAAGCCUCCCUCAGAAGAACGAGAAGCAUCCAAUGCUCCAUCAGUGGUGCCAUUACUAAUCAAAUUUAAAAGGAUUAAUGAGGGACCUCCCGUCAUGGCGCAGCGGACACGAAUCCGACUAGGAACCGUAAGGUUGUCGGUUCGAUCCCAGGCCCCGCUCAAUGGGUUAAGGAUCCAGCGUUGCCAUGAGCUGUGGUGUAGGUCGUGGACGCGGCUUGAAUCUGGCGUUACUGUGGCUGUGCCACAAGCUGACAGCUAUAGCUCCGAUAAGACCCCGAGUCUGGGAACCUCCACAUGCUGCAAGUGUGGCCCUAAAAAGACAAAAAGACUAAAAUAAAAUAAAAAUAAAACAAAAUAAAAUAAAAAGUUUAAAAUAAAGUAGGAAAGCCUCUUGGAGGAAAGAAUGAAAGAUCUGUGUUAUAGUGACAAUGACAGAAAUGAAAAGCAUUUUGCCAAGAUUUUGCACCUGUGACAAGCCAGGCCAAGUCACAGACUUCGAAAAGAAUGGGCUCUUUUGGACGGGCGUGUCUGCACACCGAGGUCUAACCACUGGGGCAGUUCUACCCUAUUAGGUGAAGAAGAAACCCCCUCAUCUUGUUGUGGCUUGUGCCGCCCUGCAGGGCUGGGAUUGGGCAGAGAAAGCCUGUGUUUACGUGCGACUUUAAUUUGAUUUACUGUCCCUGACAAGCCCGCCUGAACCCAGCGCUCUGUCUCAGCAGGGUCCCUGCCUCGCCUCUCCUGCUCUGCAAGAACUCGAAAGCAGGAGCUGGCAGGUGGAUGCCGAGGGGGACUUCGCCUCCCUUCAUGCUUGCCCAGGGCAAGUGGAACCAAGCCCGACUGCUUCAGAACCUUUCCUGGGCACGGGCUAAAGGCGCUUGGUGUCACGGUGUCACUGGAGGUGGCCUGAGGGGCAGACAGAUUCACCAGCGAUGGCUGCAUCUUGGGAGCUCAGCUCUGUGAAGCGGCAGUGUCAGCCCCGUGCGAGCUCCCCGCCAUCUGGGGAGGGGACACUGUGCUUGGAAAGUCAGAAGACAGGAAAGCAUCUGCGCCCUCCUCCUCCCGAGGCCCUCAGUGUCCUGCCUCCUCUCUGAGGCUGUCUGUGUUCAAACCUGCCCUGGGCCCUGUCACCGGAACAAAAGAUGGAAUUUCGCAUUUCUACCUCCUCAUUUCCUAGAAUUUCAGCUGCCUUCAUGGUUCUCC
rnacentral:lncRNA from 1 species